rnacentral:rRNA from 1 species
UACAGAGGGGGCAAGCGUUGUUCGGAAUUACUGGGCGUAAAGGGCGCGUAGGCGGCCUUCUAAGUCGAACGUGAAAUCCCCGGGCUCAACCCGGGAACUGCGUCCGAUACUGGAUGGCUUGAAUCCGGGAGAGGGAUGCAGAAUUCCAGGUGUAGCGGUGAAAUGCGUAGAUAUCUGGAGGAAUACCGGUGGCGAAGGCGGCAUCCUGGACCGGCAUUGACGCUGAGACGCGAAAGCGUGGGGAGCGAACGAGG